AUGGUAGCACGCAACUGAAGGUCGCACGGAGUUUGAGGUUACUCAAGUUUCUCGACGGAAUCAAGUAGGCCGUGAAAAGUUGAGGUGACAGUCCUAUCCUCAAAAUUCUGGCUAUUAGCUCCUUCACCCUUAAUUUUGCGAAAAACCCUUAACAAUUUAAACGUCAAACUGACGGACGAGUCCAUUUCGAAAAAAUCGAAGGGGAGUCCCAGGUCGCGGCGCUAUUUUUACGAAAAUUUGCGAAAAUACAAGCAACGGACGGGAGAAAUCGACGAAAUUGUCUUUACGAAGCGUAAAUAUAAGCUUUACGAUAAGUAAAAGUCAUAUGCGAAGUUGCUUCCCGCCGCCGGAAACGGCGAUGCGCCGUCGAGAUUCUAUAUUUGUCGCCGGAGGCGACGAUGCGCCGAAGGCGCAUCGUCGAGAUAUUAUUCGCACGGCGAUGCGCCGCAGGCGCAUCGUCGAGAUUCUAUUUUGCGUCGGAGACGGCGAUGCGCCUCGUCGAGAUUUUACACUAAUUUCUCACAUUUUGGGGGUCUCUCAUAUAAUUCCAAGUCUCGAGACUUUCUAUGUAAUUGGUAGCAGUUUGUGGAACUGUAGUAGUUCCACAGAGCUGUGAGUAGUUCUAAUGUAUAGUUUUUAUAACCUUGCUUUCUUUUAAUGUUUACAUUAACUGGAGAGAGCUUAAUCUUAUUGUAAACCUUUUUGUUAUUGUUAAAUAUAGUUUCAAAGCUACCUAGUUACAAUCAAAUGGCAUCAGGUAUACAUUUCCAAACGGAAGAAAUUAUCUCUCGUGAAGUUUGUUUACGUUUCGCAUCUGCAAAACGUAGGCCUGAAUGAAAUGAAAAUACAACCCUAUUUUUUAUAGUACCAUAUCGUUCGUCGAAAUUAUACGUGAAGACAAGUUCUAAAGGUACAGAGACCAGAUAUAGAGAUCGUAUUUGCGACAUGUAAUUUACAAGUACGUCCCCAUUUUACCUUCGAAAGGGGGAAAGACAUAUAAUCCAAUCCAUUGAUGUUCAUUAAACCGAAAUGUUAUGUAGUUUUAAGUAUAGAUACAAAUGACAUUAGGCUGGCCACAUUAAAAUCAUUUCCAUUGAAAGUUUAUGUAGGUACCUACUCAUAUUAACGUGUCUUGAAUUGUACUUACAAUUUCAAAGAAAAAUCCAUUAACGUUUAGGAAGGAAACUUCAAAGUGUAUAAAGAUUGCGUUAUUAAUAAAAGUCUAAUUCUUUUGAUUGCUGCUGCAAAGAUUUCCUAAUGUGAAAGAGCACAUUUUAAAGUGAUAUAAUGGUUUAGACACUAUGUAGUGAUUUGUUGCUAUAACAUUAACGUGAUUAUUAUUAAGAUAGUAAGCCCUUUAAUAUAAAAACAAGAAGGAUUUUAUUAGUUAGAUAAAUACUGGCCACUAAUGACAAAGUACACAUGUCACAUUUAAUUAAUCACUUGAGGGAAGUGGACUGCUACAUUACACUAAUGUUUAAAGGAACAUUUUCUAUAAAGUUGCACCUUCUAAUUUAAUCUGGAAUUGUAAAGAUAUUUGAAGUACACAAAGUGUAUGGUCGAAAGUAUACAGCAUUUAAGUAACAAUAAACCUAUACCAACUAAUCUUACCUACAAAAUUUUUUUACUGAAACACUUAAGUACAUGCUGUAGCAAAAAAUCAUGAAUCAAUAGGGGACCUACUAGAUUAUUUCAAUUUGAGAUCAUAUAGAUUCUGCGGUUUCUUGGUGUUUCAUACCUACAUAGUUUCUAGAGAAAUUCAUAAAUCUAAAUAUAAAUUUACUUCUAUCUAUUUUGUGCUAAAUUGAUGUGGAUCAUGAGAAAAAUAUUAAAAAAUACAUGUACACUUUGUACACAUUAUGCCUUGCAUGCAGCAAGUCGUUUCACAUUGUAUGUGCAUGUCGUCGCGGAGGGAGAUUUAUGGUUUGUACCAUACCACCAUUGCCUAGAGCAAACACACUGCAAAGGCAACAGUUGAAUGCCUUCAAUUAUCGGUUGCACGCUCUAGGUAAUAAAAAACCUACCAAUAUUCGCGUUGUGGAGGUGAAUGCCAUUUUUAAUGCGUUUGGGGAUUACCACCUUUUUGAAAGGUAUGCGUAUAAUAAUUAUUUAUUGCCCAUUAUUCAAAUGUAGAUACAUUACUUUGUUUUAUUUUAACACAAAUUUAAUAUAAUCGGUCUUACCAUGUUGUAAAUACAAUUUUAUUAUAGAGAUGGCAUACACCCAAACGGCAGGGGAAUAAGCCUUGUAUACAAUUUGAUUAAUGGAGAUUUUUUUAGAUGUUGAAAUUGUGUAGCACCGCAUCACAAAAUAUUUUGUAUUAACUACUUUCUGG